ACUCGAGUGACUCGAGCUAGGUGACCCGCGUUUCAUGGGAGCUUUUGACAGUUCAUCACCCGGUCGCCAUCUUUGAUUUUUCUAGCCCGGGUCAGGAAUCGUGACCCGACCAAAUAGUACGGGCUACGAAGUUCUAGCUCGAGUCACCCGGAAUCGGAGCGCUCCUAUUGGUUGAAAGUUUCGCGUCGUCUGCUCGGUCUGCAGUCAAGUAGACAACACAAGUAAAUGCAAAUAUGGAGGAUUAUUACGAAUACAAACAUGAGUUUGUUUUGAAGGCAUAUUUUAUAAAAUAAUCGGAAAGGAGGAAAUUUACACAUUAUUGGCUGGCAGCUUGGACUUCUUCAGUCCUAUCUGAAUCUGAAACAAAACUAUGGCCACAUCGAGAUGGCUGGUUUAGCAGCAGAAGUCACCACAGAGGGUCAUGUGUGGACU